rnacentral:rRNA from 1 species
UGGCGGCGUGCUUAACACAUGCAAGUCGAACGCUGAAGCACCAGCUUGCUGGUGUGGAUGAGUGGCGAACGGGUGAGUAAUACGUGAGUAACCUGCCCUUGACUCUGGGAUAAGCCCGGGAAACUGGGUCUAAUACUGGAUGCUACAUGUCACCGCAUGGUGGUGUGUGGAAAGGGUUUACUGGUCUUGGAUGGGCUCACGGCCUAUCAGCUUGUUGGUGAGGUAAUGGCUCACCAAGGCGACGACGGGUAGCCGGCCUGAGAGGGUGACCGGCCACACUGGGACUGAGACACGGCCCAGACUCCUACGGGAGGCAGCAGUGGGGAAUAUUGCACAAUGGGCGAAAGCCUGAUGCAGCGACGCCGCGUGAGGGAUGACGGCCUUCGGGUUGUAAACCUCUUUCAGCAGGGAAGAAGCCACAAGUGACGGUACCUGCAGAAGAAGCGCCGGCUAACUACGUGCCAGCAGCCGCGGUAAUACGUAGGGCGCAAGCGUUGUCCGGAAUUAUUGGGCGUAAAGAGCUCGUAGGCGGUUUGUCGCGUCUGCUGUGAAAGUCCGGGGCUUAACCCCGGGUGUGCAGUGGGUACGGGCAGACUAGAGUGCAGUAGGGGAGACUGGAAUUCCUGGUGUAGCGGUGGAAUGCGCAGAUAUCAGGAGGAACACCGAUGGCGAAGGCAGGUCUCUGGGCUGUUACUGACGCUGAGGAGCGAAAGCAUGGGGAGCGAACAGGAUUAGAUACCCUGGUAGUCCAUGCCGUAAACGUUGGGCACUAGGUGUGGGGGACAUUCCACGUUUUCCGCGCCGUAGCUAACGCAUUAAGUGCCCC